CCCGCCCCGCAGGGGUCGCGUGACGCCCUGUGACGGGGGUCCGGCAGGAGCGGGCGGAUGGGGUCGGGGUGUAGCGUGGCUGCUCUGUGGUGUGUGGGGCCUGGAGAUAGAUACAGCGCUGCCCCGUAGUGCCCGGGGAACAGUGGGGGUCCUCAUGGAACGUGUGACCCUGGGUUUGGGCUUGGCCUUGGCUUUGGGGAGCUCCGGAGCCACACACCGAGACGGUGAAUCUCUGAAGUCUGCGGAGGGUUUCCCUAGUUAUUUUCUAUACAUACUGUCACAGAUUCAUCCUACAAGAACAGAAAAGAAAAAGUUAAGGUGGAAAUUAUGCAAGUGGAAAGAACAUUACCAUUGCACUGAAGAGACCAUGAAAAGAGAAAAAAAAACAAACAACUUUUCAAUUGUUGCUUCUUCAAAGAUGCUGCUGUAGAAAACACAGAAAUUUGGUAUGUGCCAAUAUCCCUUGAAGGCCUUUACCACCACCUUCAGAGUUAAGAAGUAAAAACUCAUUGUGAGCUGACAUUUGUUAUGAGCUCAUUUGUCAUGAACAGGUUGGAGCUCCAUCAAAAGCUGUCCAGCAUGGCUACACGCUGAGCUGUGAGAUCCUUUGCAAUCAGCCAGAAAAAGUGGGCAGUCCUGGCAGGGCACUGAAGCUGAUUUCUGGUAAGUGUUCAGCCCCUAGCCCCCUACUCCCCUGUGAGGUGCAGGACAUGACACCAUACCUGCCACUGGAAGACACAGCCCCCUCUCUCUGUCUGCCUUUGUAAUUUCCCUAAUGGUCACAAUUAACAUAAAAAGGUUCCUUGAUAAGGAAGUCAGCCACGUCCUCAAAACACAAAACUUCUCAUUUGUAAACCCAGAAAUGCAAUACCAGUGCAAUUUAUCUUAAAACAAACAAACAAAAAACCCCACAAACACACAGGCCAAAACAAAAACCCUGAAACAAACAAGGGCUUACACAAAACAGGAGCUAAAUGGAACUUAGCUACUGUAUGGCCCUUACACAGGGUCCUGUACUGCAACACACUUUGCUCCUGGUGCAAUGUGCAGUUGCAAGCUUUACACACCACUGGCCAAAAUGUGUUGGGUAGCUUUUGCGAGUGGGAGUCUGCUUCACAUGCUUAGAAACAGAAAGAAAUAUUUCCCUUUCCUAGCUACUGUAAUAGUUUUUCCUGACAUAGGGAGCAGAGAGAAAAUAAGCUCUGCAAAUGUAAUGAGCAAAUACUGACCACUUCCUUUUUGAAUUCCCAUUGCCAUUUUUCCCAAGUACUGCUUUCCUUUUCUCGUGACUGCUUAGGGUGGCAUACAACAUGCUUAUCUUAACCAGAAGGGAAAUAUCAGACAAGAGACUUCCCACCUCAAGGUUCACAUCUACACCAACAGUGCUUUACAUUUAUUCUGUGGUGGGACACAGUGAGAUCUGACACCAC
rnacentral:lncRNA from 14 species